UUAGUAAUUGAAGUUUGAAACAUUUAUCUUCUUAAAAUCAUUUUGUGUUUCCUUGUUUUGCUUGCAGAUUUCAGAAAUGGAGAUUGGGUUAACAGUUGGUGGUGCAUUUCUCUCUUCAGCUUUGAAUGUUCUCUUUGAUAGGCUUUCUCCUCACGGUGAUCUUCUCAAUAUGUUUCGGAAGCAUAAGGAUCAUGUUCAGCUCUUAAAGAAGCUGAAAAUGACUUUGCGUGGUCUUCGGAUUGUGCUAAGUGAUGCAGAAAAUAAGCAAGCAUCAAAUCCAUCUGUGAGCGACUGGCUUAAUGAACUUCGAGAUGCUGUCGACUCUGCUGAAAACUUAAUAGAACAAGUCAAUUAUGAAGCUUUGAGGCUUAAGGUGGAAGGUCAACAUCAAAAUCUAGCAGAGACAAGCGACCAGCAAGUAAGUGACCUCAACCUGUGCUUGAGUGAUGAUUUCUUUCUUAACAUAAAGGAUAAGUUGGAAGAAACCAUUGAAACAUUGGAGGUGUUGGAAAAGCAAAUUGGUCGCCUUGGCUUAAAGGAUCAUUUUGGUUCAACUAAACAAGAAACUAGAACACCUUCAACUUCUUUGGUUGAUGAUUCUGAUAUCUUUGGAAGGCAGAAUGAUAUAGAGGAAUUGAUUGACCGUUUAUUGUCUGAAGAUGCAAGUGGAAAAAAGCUGACAGUAGUUCCUAUUGUUGGAAUGGGCGGCCUGGGUAAGACAACACUUGCUAAAGCCGUUUACAAUGAUGAGAGAGUGCAGAAACAUUUUGUUUGGAAAGCUUGGUUUUAUGUUUCUGAGGCAUAUGAUGCUUUCAGAAUAACAAAGGGGUUACUUCAGGAAAUUGGCUCAACUGACUUGAAGGUUGAUGACAAUCUUAACCAGCUACAAGUCAAAUUGAAGGAAAGAUUAAAGGGAAAUAAGUUUCUUAUAGUUCUGGAUGAUGUGUGGAAUGACAGCUACAACGAGUGGGAUGACCUGAGAAAUGUUUUUGUACAAGGAGAUACAGGAAGUAAGAUCAUUGUGACGACACGUAAAGAGAGUGUUGCCUUGAUGAUGGGAAAUGAGCAAAUCAGCAUGGAGAAUUUGUCUACUGAAGCCUCUUGGUCUUUAUUUAAAAGACAUGCAUUUGAAAACAUGGAUCCUAUUGGACAUUCGGAACUUGAAGAGGUCGGAAAACAAAUUGCAGCUAAGUGCAAGGGACUGCCCUUAGCUCUGAAGGCUCUCGCUGGCAUGUUACGCUCCAAAUCAGAGGUUGAAGAGUGGAAACGUAUUUUGAGAAGUAAAAUAUGGGAGCUGCCACACAAUGACAUAUUACCAGCGUUGAUGUUGAGCUACAAUGAUCUUCCCGCACAUUUAAAGCAAUGUUUUUCCUUUUGUGCAAUAUUUCCUAAAGAUUAUCCAUUUAGGAAAGAACAAGUCAUUCAUCUGUGGAUUGCCAAUGGUCUCGUACCACAGGAAGAUGAAAUAAUUGAAGAUUCAGGCAACCAAUACUUUCUUGAGUUGAGGUCAAGAUCAUUAUUCGAAAGGAUCCCAAAUCCUUCUGAAGGCAACAAAGAGAAUUUAUUCUUAAUGCAUGACCUUGUCAACGAUUUAGCCCAAAUUGCAUCUUCAAAACUUUGUAUCAGGUUGGAAGAGAGCCAAGGAUCUUGUAUGUUGGAAAAAAGUCGGCACUUAUCUUAUUCAAUGGGAUAUGGUGACUUUGAGAAAUUGACACCCCUCUACAAAUUGGAGCAGCUGAGGACAUUGCUUCCGACAUGUAUUGAUCUCAUGGAUUGUUAUCACCCUCUAAGCAAGAGGGUGCAGCUUAACAUACUGCCUAGACUAAGAUCCUUGAGAGUACUAUCAUUGUCUCAUUACAAGAUUAAGGAGUUGCCAAAUGACUUGUUUAUCGAAUUAAAGCUCCUGAGAUUUUUGGAUAUUUCUCAGACAGAGAUUACAAGGUUGCCAGAUUCCAUUUGUGUGUUGUAUAACUUAGAGACACUUCUCCUGUCAUUUUGUGGUUAUCUUGAGGAGCUACCGCUGCAGAUGGAGAAGUUGAUUAACUUGCGUCAUCUUGACAUAAGCAACACUUUUUUCUUGAAGAUGCCGCUACAUCUGAGCAAGUUGAAAAGCCUCCAAGUGUUAGUGGGAGCCAAGUUUCAUCUAAGUGGUUGGAGAAUGGAAGAUUUGGGUGAAGCACAGAACUUGUAUGGAUCUCUAUCAGUUGUAGAGUUGCAAAAUGUGGUUGAAAGAAGGGAAGCUGUGAAGGCAAAGAUGAGGGAGAAGAAUCAUGUUGACAAGUUAUCAUUGGAGUGGAGUGAAAGUAGUAGUGCCGACAAUUCACAAACUGAUACAGACAUACUUGAUGAGCUACGCCCACAUAAAAACAUAAAAGAAGUCGAAAUCACUGGAUAUAGAGGGACAAAAUUUCCCAAUUGGCUAGCUGAUCCUUUGUUUCUUAAGCUAGUACAGUUGUCUAUUGGUAACUGCAAUAACUGGCACUCCUUGCCAGCACUAGGACAGCUUCCUUGUUUGAAAAUCCUUUCCAUUAGAGGGAUGCAUGGAAUAACAGAGGUGACGGAAGAAUUCUAUGGCAGUUUGUCCUCAAAAAAGCCUUUUAACUGUCUUGAGAAGCUUGAAUUUGUUGAAAUGCCGGAGUGGAAGCAAUGGCACGUACUAGGAAGUGGAGAUUUCCCUAUACUUGAGAAGCUUUUCAUUAAAAAUUGCCCUGAACUCAGUUUGGAGACACCCAUUCAACUUUCAAGUUUAAAAAGGUUUGAAGUUGUUGGUUCUUCUAAGGUUGGAGUUGUUUUUGAUGAUGCUCAACUGUUUAGAUCCCAACUUGAGGGAAUGAAGCAGAUUGUUGAAUUAUAUAUUAGGGACUGUAACUCUGUUACCUCCUUACCUUUUAGCAUACUGCCCACUACCUUGAAGAGAAUAGAGAUAUCUCGUUGCCGGAAAUUGAAAUUGGAAGCGCCAGUUGGUGAGAUGAGUAUGUUUCUCGAGGAAUUGACACUGAAGGAAUGUGAUUGUAUAGAUGAUAUAUCACCUGAGUUGCUCCCAAAAGCACGCAAAUUGUGGGUACAGGAUUGCCACAACCUUACUAGGUUUUUGAUUCCUACUGCCACUGAAACUCUCGAUAUUCAUAAUUGUGAGAAUGUUGAAAUACCUUCGGUGGCAUGUGGGGGGACCCAGAUGACGUUUUUGACUAUUUCCUUCUGUUCAAAGCUGAAGUGUCUGCCAGAACGUAUGCAGGAACUCCUUCCAUCUCUUAAGAAACUGCUACUGAUUAAUUGUCCAGAAAUAGAGUCCUUUCCUGAAGGAGGAUUGCCCUUCAAUUUACAAGUCCUUCAGAUCAGUUAUUGCAAGAAACUGGUGAAUGGCCGAAAGGAGUGGCGUUUACAGAGACUCCCCUGUCUCACAGAGUUAUGGAUCUUACAUAAUGGCAGUGACGAAGAGAUUGUUGGUGGUGAGAAUUGGGAGUUGCCUUCCUCUAUUCAAACACUUUUUAUAGAGAAUCUGAAAACAUUAAGCAGCCAACAUCUCAAAAACCUCACCUCUCUUCAAUCUCUAUGUAUUAUGGGUGAUUUACCUCAAAUUCAGUCACAAGGCCAGUUUUCCUCCUUUUCUCACCUCACUUCCCUUCAAAGUCUACACAUCUGGAAUUUCCCUAAUCUCCAAUCACUUCCUGAAUCAGCACUGCCCUCCUCCCUCUCUCAGCUGGAGAUCUACCAUUGCCCUAAUCUCCAAUCCUUUCCAGUAAAAGGGAUGCCCUCUUCCCUCUCUAAACUAUCUAUUUACCAAUGCCCAUUGCUCAAACCACUACUAGAAUUUAACAAGGGGGAAUACUGGCCAGAAAUUGCUCAAAUUCCCACCAUAGGGAUCGAUGAGGAAUGCCUUUAAUGAUUAAAACAAAUGGUGCUCUCACAAAUGAGGAUUAUGAUAAGUUGGUGUCACAGCCCCGUCGCCUUAGACAUGAGUCAACUGCUCUCAUUCUUGCUCGGCUCCUUGGACGGCGUUUAAACCUAGAUAAUAUGAAGGUU